rnacentral:misc_RNA from 1 species
ACAGCUUUCGUGAUAUGUAAUGUUACUCGCUACACUUUUUGAGGAAGUAAUCCUGUUCCCAUCUAUUUAAAAUAUCUUCCAUCCGCGAACAAGAUCACCUAGUAUGAAGCUGACUUUAACAAGUCCCUAUCUGAUUUUAUUACCAUUGAUUUGUGUACAUGGAUUUAUCAUGGAAGUGGAUAGUCGAUACUGAGAUAGUCGCCCGAUGGUAGAUCGAUUCUCUUCCGUUACUUGACCGAUAUCUCGAUCGACAUGUCGGCCGACAAUCGCCCGACCAUUGGUCUAUCAUCAGUUCGCUAUCGACAGAGUAUGGAAUGGCCAUCUCAGAUGGGUCGACUGAAAUGUCGACCAAGAAUACACAUGUAGAAGCAGCUACGAUAAAAACAGCAAAACCGACAAAAAUAAAAACAGGAACAACUUUUGUUACUUAAAAGAUUCAGACCAAGAUGUUCCUGUGGGAGGGCUGAAACCUGGCUGUGAAGUGAAAUUUGAGAAAGUUGGAUGCUUUAAAGACAAAGUUGACAUACGGGCUCUUCCUGAAUUAAUCUUCCACCAAAGAUACAGUAUCAGUUGGGAUCUUGGUAAAUGGGGAGAUUAUUUAAAACAGCUGGCUUGCAAAUGUGCCAAAGGAACGGAAGACAGAGGUUACAGUCAUUUCGGUCUUCAGUUCUAUGCUGAAUGCUGGACGGGUCUCAAGGCUGCUGCAAGGUUUGAUAUCUACGGCAAGUCAAAGGACUGUAAGGAUGGUCGCUUCUUAAAAUGUAAUGACGGAGAUAAAGGAGAGUGCGUCGGUGGAGGUCACGCCAACUACAUUUACCGUAUUAUACCUACAGAAGGCGGAAGUGGAGUAGAACCCAUACUUGAUUGAAAGUCUAUGCGCACUUAAACACCGAAAAAGUUAAUAAUAAAUGAGUAUUUCAGAAUACG